rnacentral:rRNA from 1 species
UACGAGGAUGCGAGCGUUAUCCGGAUUUAUGGUUAAAGGGUGCGUAGGUGGUUAAUUAAGUCAGCGGUGAAAGUUUUGUGGCUCAACCAUAAAAUUGCCGUUGAAACUGGUUGACUUGAGUAUAUUUGAGGUAGGCGGAAUGCGUGGUGUAGCGGUGAAAUGCAUAGAUAUCACGCAGAACUCCGAUUGCGAAGGCAGCUUACUAAACUAUAACUGACACUGAAGCACGAAAGCGUGGGAUCAAACAGG